GUUUUGAUUAUGGCUCAGAUUGAACGCUGGCGGUAUGCUUAACACAUGCAAGUCGAACGGAAACGAAACUAGCUUGCUAGUUGGCGUCGAGUGGCGGACGGGUGAGUAACGCGUAGGAAUCUACCUAGUAGUGGGGGAUAGCCCGAAGAAAUUCGGAUUAAUACCGCAUAAUCUAUUCGUAGUAAAGUGGGGGACUUUCGAGCCUCACGCUAUUAGAUGAGCCUGCGUAAGAUUAGCUUGUUGGUAGGGUAAAAGCCUACCAAGGCUACGAUCUUUAGCUGGUCUGAGAGGAUGAUCAGCCACAUCGGGACUGAGACACGGCCCGAACUCCUACGGGAGGCAGCAGUGGGGAAUAUUGGACAAUGGGGGCAACCCUGAUCCAGCAAUACCGCGUGUGCGAAG
rnacentral:rRNA from 1 species